AAGCUCGUAGUUGAAUUUCGGGACCAAUUUGUUGGUCGUGCCUCGGUACGUACUGGUAUUAUUGGUUUCUCCCUUCUGAAGAACCUUGAUGUCAUUAAUUUGGUGUCUUGGGGAAUCAGGACUGUUACUUUGAAAAAAUUAGAGUGUUUAAAGCAGGCAUACGCUUGAAUACAUUAGCACGGAAUAAUGAAAUAGGACGUUUGAUUCUAUUUUGUUGGUUUCUAGGAUCGACGUAAUGAUUAAUAGGGAUAGUUGGG
rnacentral:rRNA from 1 species